GGAGGGCCCGGCGGCGUCCUGGAGGGCCCGGCGGCGGCGGCUCCCUGGAGGGCCCGGCGGUGGCGGCUCCUCAUCCAAAGAAAUGAGGCGACGUUGCGGAGGUCCAGGCGGUUGGCCCGGUGGAGGUCCUGGAGGAGACGGUCCCGGCGGUGGAGGACGGCUGGGGGAUCCGGCGGUGGAGGUCCGAAGGCGGCUUGUGAUUAGACCAACCAGCUCCUCAUCCAUGGAAGGUUCAAUAAAGUUGACCUCUCCUUCAGGUGACUUAAAGGGAGACCAGAUGUGCGGCAGCUGGGUGUCAUGGUGCAGAGACCCAACGUCUCUCAAUGGAGAGAAAGUAAUUAUUUUCUCCAUUAUGUUGCACCACAUUUUGGGGGAAGAACGUUUGACUCAAUCUUUGUUAUUUAUUUCUGUACUCCAUAUCUGUAAUCCCAGCUGUUGUAUUUUAACACGGUAGCUGGGAAUCCUCUUUAUAGGGAGCGGCUAGAGGGACGAGCCUGGAAGCAAACCUGAGCCUGGAUCUUAACCUUCUUUCUAAACCUAAUGCCGCAAUUUAACCGCAAAUAAAGUGAGGCCUAAAGUAACUUGACUCUCUUACCUAAACUUGCUUGCCUAAACUCGCUUGUCUAAACUCGCUUGCAUAAAACCUAAACUCGCUUGCAUAAAACCUGAACUUGCUUGGCUAAACUCGCGUUGCUUGCCUAAUACCUGAACUCGCUUGCCUGAACUCGCUUGCCUGAACUCGCUUGCCUGAACUCGCUUGCCUGAACUCGCUUGCCUAAACUCGCUUGCCUAAACUCGCUUGCCUAAACUCGCUUGCCUAAACUCGCUUGCCUAAACUCGCUUGCCUAAACUCGCUUGCCUAAACUCGCUUGCCUAAUACCUGAACUCGCUUAGCUUGACUCGCUUGCCUGUACUCGCUUGCCUAAUACCUGAAGUCGCUUGCAUAAAACCUAACCCGCUUAGCUUGACUAGCUUGCCUGUACUCGCUUGGCUAAACUCGCUUGCAUAAAACCUAAACUCGUUUGCAUAAAACCUAAACUCGCUUAGCUUGACUCGCUUGCCCGUACUCGCUUGCCUAAUACCUGAAGUCGCUUGCCUAAUACCUGAAAUCGCUUGACUGAAGUCGCUUGCCUAUUACCUGAAGUCGCUUGCCUAAAACCUAAACUUGCUUGUCCAAACACGUUACGUAAAGUUAACCAUCCAUAAUCUUGAACCCAAACCAGACUUGUCCCUGGGUCGCUCCACUUUAAUUUAGAAGUUUCUUCUUUUACCUCAUCUACGUUUUGAGUUUCAUUCUUUGAGGGCUUGAAGUGCUUUGGAGGAUAUUUGAACCUUUGUUUGCCGAAUCAAUAAACAGGCUUUAUCUUUACCCAUUUGGUUUUGGAUUGCAUUUCUAUGUGUAAUCCGGCCAAAUGUUCAGUGUCCUUACAUGUAAUGUCUAUGGUCUGACGAUAAUCUGACCUCUUCAUGAAGCAGAAUGUGAUUGUUGUCCCGUGAGCUCCAGGCGCUCUGUGGGCCUGUCAACGUCUCUUUAGCAAAAGGUUGGAGUGAAAUUCAUUUUUGUGCCAUUUUCAUGUGUUCCUGAGUAUUUCAGACCUGUGGUGUUUCACAUGAGACCUUAAAGGGAACUUUUCUUUUUCUGCCUGCAUAUGUAAUGCCUACAUUAGUAGGGUGAUCACUGUUGAUCCCAAUAUUGAUCAUUAACCACCUCAUUCUUUUAUGAUUUUUUUCGUUCAGGAUUACAAAUCAUGUAAUUUAUGAGCAUAUUUGCAAAUGGCUCCAAAUAUCAGAUUGUGUAAAAACUAAUGAAAUAUAACCUGCUUGAUUUAAAGAAAAUAAAACAUCCAAAUA